CAAUAGCGUAUAUUAAAGUUGUUGCGGUUAAAAAGCUCGUAGUUGGAUUUCUGCCGAGGACGACCGGUCCGCCCUCUGGGUGAGCAUCUGGCUCGGCCUGGGCAUCUUCUUGGAGAACGUAUCUGCACUUGACUGUGUGGUGCGGUAUUCAGGACUUUUACUUUGAGGAAAUUAGAGUGUUUCAAGCAGGCAUACGCCUUGAAUACAUUAGCAUGGAAUAAUAAGAUAGGACCUCGGUUCUAUUGUGUUGGUCUUCGGGACCGGAGUAAUGAUUAAGAGGGACAGUUGGGGGCGAUUCGUAUUUCAUUGUCAGAGGUGAAAUUCUUGGAUUUAUGAAAGACGAACUUCUGCGAAAGCAUUUGCCAAGGAUGUUUUCAUUAAUCAAGAACGAAAGUUGGGGGCGUCGAAGACGAUCAGAUACCAU
rnacentral:rRNA from 1 species